rnacentral:rRNA from 1 species
AGCUUCAAUAGCGUAUAUUAAAGUUGUUGCAGUUAAAACGCUCGUAGUCGGAUUUCGGGGCGGGCCGACCGGUCUGCCGAUGGGUAUGCACUGGCCGGCGCGUCCUUCCACCCGGAGACCGCGCCUACUCUUAACUGAGCGGGCGCGGGAGACGGGUCUUUUACUUUGAAAAAAUCAGAGUGUUUCAAGCAGGCAGUCGCUCUUGCAUGGAUUAGCAUGGGAUAAUGAAAUAGGACUCUGGUGCUAUUUUGUUGGUUUCGAACACCGGAGUAAUGAUUAACAGGGACAGUCAGGGGCACUCGUAUUCCGCCGAGAGAGGUGAAAUUCUCAGACCAGCGGAAGACGAACCACUGCGAAAGCAUUUGCCAGGGAUGUUU